CAAAUCUUCAAAUCUUCAAUUUCGUCCAAACCUUUUUUCCAAGCAUGUGCUAUUCAAUCCAAGCUCACUUUUGCUCCAAAAAGCUCCAAUUUGCAUUGUUUUGUAUAAUAUGCCCUUAAAACCUGAAAACACAUGAAAAUAGCUUAAAAGACUACUUUAGCUAAGAAAACAUAACGAAAAUGCAUAAGAACUAGCUAACUAAGGCGCAUAAAUAUGUUCCUAUCA
rnacentral:lncRNA from 1 species